AUUGAACGCUGGCGGCAGGCCUAACACAUGCAAGUCGAACGAGUAGCGGACGGGUGAGUAAGGGAUGGGAAAGUGGCCGAUGGACGGGGAUAACUAGGGGAAACGGUAGCAAAUACCGCAUACGAUCGGAUGGGCCGAGAGUGGAUUAUCUAGUAGGUGGGGUAACGGCUCACCUAGGCGACGAUCCCUAGCUGGUCUGAGAGGAUGAGCCGCCACACUGGGACUGAGACACGGUCCAGACUCCUACGGUAGGCAGCAGUGGGGAAUAUUGCACAAUGGGCGCAAGCCGGAUGCAGCCAUGCCGCGUGUAUGAAGAAGGCCUUCGGGUUGUAAAGUACUUUCAGCAGGGAGGCGUUACCCGACGAAGAAGCACCGGCUAACUCCGUGCCAGCAGCCGCGGUAAUUC
rnacentral:rRNA from 1 species